rnacentral:rRNA from 1 species
AUCAGGUAGGAUUACCCGCUGAACUUAAGCAUAUCAAUAAGCGGAGGAAAAGAAACUAACAAGGAUUCCCUUAGUAACGGCGAGUGAAGCGGGAAAAGCUCAAAUUUGGAAUCUGACGUCUUUUCGGCGUACGAGUUGUAAACUAGAGAGGCGUUUUCGGCGGGCGCCUGGGUAUAAGUCCUCUGGAACUGGGCAUCAUAGAGGGUGAGAAUCCCGUCUUUGACCCGGAGCAGCCUGCUAUGUGAUACGUCUUCAAAGAGUCGGUUUGUUUGGGAAUGCAGACCAAAAUGGGUGGUAAAUUCCAUCUAAAGCUAAAUACAGGCGAGAGACCGAUAGCGAACAAGUACCGUGAGGGAAAGAUGAAAAGUACUUUGAAAAGAGAGUUAAACAGUACGUGAAAUUGUUGAAAGGGAAACGAUUGAAGUCAGUCAUGCUAGUGAGGAAUCAACUUGGUGGUUUACUUCUUUGUGCAUUUUCUCGCUUGGCAGGUUAGCAUCAAUUUUGGUUGUCAUCAAAGAAUUGGGGGAAUGUGGCUUUUCUUCGGUAAAGUGUUAUAGACUCUGAUUGAUGUGGCGACUGGGAUUGAGGUUUGCAGCGGAUGCCUCUUGUGGCUAGUCACCUGUCUUCUGACCGUCACCUCGUUUUUGACAGCUUGCUGAUGAUUGCGGGAUUUGGCGAUCUAGGAGUUAGAGUGAAUAUAAAUUCGCUAAGGAUGCUGACGUAAUGGCUUUAAACGACCCGUCUUGAAACACGGACCAAGGAGUCUAACAUGUGUGCGAGUGUU